rnacentral:pre_miRNA from 1 species
AAAAGUGGGCCUGAUCCAAAGCCCAUUGAAAUCAAUGGAAAUCGUUUCAUUGAGUAUAAUGGGCUUUGCAUCAGUCCCUUAGUAUU